rnacentral:lncRNA from 1 species
CUUCCCUGAAAUGCCUUGAAACGAGCAAGUGGUUCAUGGGAGCUGUGCAAGAUAUUACAAAAUUGCAGUGUAUAUUUGAAAUUCAAAUGCACCUGAGAUUCAUGCAUUUUGUUGUCCUGCGGUUCACAUCUCCUAAAUAAAACAUUUCCCCUGUGUAGGCGCUCCCGGGGGCUCCACAUGAGGUCAGCGUUUGGGUGGCUUUGCCGGGGUCAGAAGACUGUUCUUCCAGGAAGGGCUGCAGAGACCCUGGGAACGGGACCAGCCCAGCUCACAAGUAUGAAGAGAAUGUCGGAGAGGAAGUGGUGGCUGUGAGUCAGCAUGAGUCAUCUCGUUCCAAUGAGAACGAAGACUGAGGUGUGCGCCCUUUUUUUUCUUUUUCUUCUUUUUCCUCUUUUUUCUUUUCUUCCUCCCCCCCCCUUCUCUCUUUCUCUCUCUCUCUCUUUUUUUUUUUUUUUUUUUUUUGGUCUCAGCCACGGGGACAUGUUCAGGAAUAGAGGGGAAUAGUGACUGGCUGGCUGUUCUGAGCCUGGGCUAGUAUUCCAGGCCGGCUGUGCCUGAGCCCGUGUGUGCCCCAGACCUUCGCGGCUCGGCGGCUGGAAGGUGGAGCCAGCGGCUUCUCCCCGAUGUGCAAAGUAAAGAGAAAAGGGGAGAGGACUUGGCUCAGGGGUGCGGCCGCCAGCAGCUCUCCCAUCCUUUAUGAACUGCGUCAGUAAAGGAGACUCUCAGGCGGGAUGAUUAUUUGCAUGGAGGCAGGAAGCAUGGCCCCGCUGUUCUUUCUCUGCUGGCUGAGAAGCAGGACAUCUGCCAAACCCCGAGUCACCUCGCUUCGGCUGAUACCAACGUGGGAACACUUGGCGGAGAGCGUUCUCACCUGCUGCCAGGUGAGUGCAGCCAGGUUGGCGACAUCUCCCAACUCUGCUGAAGGGGAUACCCCACCUCCUGGUACCACCACCACCACCACCACCACCACCACGCAACCCUCCCUCUUGCUGGCGAGGAGCGGCCAGGCAGCCCUGAAGACCCAGAAAUGCCAGAAGCGGGACGCCAGGCAGCAAGCAGCCUAUCUGUGUGCACUUGAUGCAGAGGUCAGAAUGAAGUGGUCACAAUGGUAAGAUCUAAGACCUGCUGCUAAGUCAGAAUCACAUGCGAAUUACGGCAUUUGUAGAAAAAGCAAAACCAACGUAAUGUAAAUAAACACACAGAGCAACGGAAAGGAUCUGGAAAAAUUUGAACUCUUGUGUUGGUGUGGACGUAGGACCGGGGACGGGAGCCGAACAAGCUGGGUUUGAAAUAAAUGAGAUCUGAAAUAAAUGUAGACACACACAUAUCUAUAGUGAUGAGACCGUAUCUGUGUAACGCUCGCCUCAUUAAAAUGAAAAACACGAACACAUCACCAGCUUAAAACGAAGCUCGGCCCGUCUCACGUUCCCAGCAUUUAUUUCAGAGAACUGAUUAUAGAAUGGCUUGCUCUGGAUUUUAUAGCCUAGACCCCG